UACGUAGGGCGCAAGCGUUGUCCGGAAUUAUUGGGCGUAAAGAGCUCGUAGGCGGUCUGUCGCGUCGGCUGUGGAAAACCUGGGGCUCAACUCCGGGCCUGCAGCCAUACGGGGCAGACUAGAAAUUCGGUAGGGGAGACUGGAAUUCCUGGUGUAGCGGUGAAAUGCGCAGAUAUCAGGAGGAACACCGGUGGCGAAGGCGGGGUCUCUGGGGCCGAUAUUUGACGUGAGGAGCGAAAAGCGUGGGGGAGCAAACAGGAUUAGAAAACCCCC
rnacentral:rRNA from 1 species